UACAGAGGGUGCAAGCGUUGUUCGGAAUUAUUGGGCGUAAAGGGAGUGUAGGCGGCUAGGAAAGUCUUCUGUGAAAUCUACGGGCUCAGCCUGUAACGUGCAGAGUAAACUAUCUGGCUAGAGUGUCGGAGAGGAUAGGGGAAUACCCGGUGUAGAGGUGAAAUUCGUAGAGAUCGGGUGGAACACCAGUGGCGAAGGCGCCUGUCUGGCUGACAACUGACGCUGAGACUCGAAAGCAUGGGGAGCAAACAGG
rnacentral:rRNA from 1 species